UUAGAUAACGUGAAUAACAUAAAUGCUAAU
rnacentral:piRNA from 1 species